CGGUGGCGGUGGAGGUGGAGGCAAACCCCCUCCACCACCUCCAGGAAAUUGCAUAGACAAAAGUGGUGCUUGUCCCCUUUGGGUAUCACUUUGUAGAAGUCAUGACAACAUAAGAAAGAUUUGCCGAAAAACAUGCGGUAGCUGUUAGUCUAAUUUCUUCGAUUCUGGGACAAAACCAACGUUAUGUAGUAGUGGUAUGUUUGGCAUAGACAGUAUCACAAUGAAGUAGAACAGAAAUAAAGCAUUUUAAAAAUCAAAA